rnacentral:rRNA from 1 species
CGCCGCGGUUAAACGGGGGACUCGAGUUGAUAAUCACCGGCGUAAAGCGUGGUUAGACAUACUAAAAAACUAAAGCCGAAAACACUCACAGCAGUCAUACGCAGGAAGGUUAUAAGCCCACUUACGAAAGUAGCUUUAAAACAUCUUGAAUCCACGAAAACUGGGGAA